rnacentral:rRNA from 1 species
UACGUAGGGUGCAAGCGUUAAUCGGAAUUACUGGGCGUAAAGCGUGCGCAGGCGGCUAUGCAAGACAGAUGUGAAAUCCCCGGGCUCAACCUGGGAACUGCAUUUGUGACUGCAUAGCUAGAGUACGGUAGAGGGGAUGGAAUUCCGCGUGUAGCAGUGAAAUGCGUAGAUAUGCGGAGGAACACCGAUGGACGAAGGCAAUCCCUGGACCUGUACUGACGCU